GGCCGCCUGGCGAAAUGGCAUCGCGUCUGACUACGAUCGUGGCAUUCUUUCUCAGUAUUAAUCAGGAGAUUGCAGGUUCGACCCCUGCGGUGGUCA